CAGAGGAAGGCAGCUCCAUUCUGCCUCCCAGGCUCCCGAUGAUCCUAGGAGGAGGGCCCUUCUGCACAGCUGGGCCUUGCCUGCCUGCCUGAGCACCCUGUCCCUGGUUCACCCUGGGAUCCACCACGGAAACCUCGGGACUCAGAGUUGCAAAUGCAUCUCACACCAGUUCUGCAAACCAAUUCCACUUGGACAUCUGAACAGUGAACUCAAGCAAACAGCGUAAAAGGCUGGGAGAUCUCUCUUAUCUGCCCGCUGUAUGGAGUUGCAUUGCAUGAGAAUCCAGGAACAAUGUGGCCUAACAAACACAGCCCCUGGCAUCCUUUCCUUGUUCCAGCUUAAUGACAAUAUCUGUGAUGCUUCCCCACGGAAUGUGAGAUGAAGUCUGACAUUUUGCUUUUCCUAAUUUUAGAAAAAUGUUAAAGAUUUAGAUUAAGAAUGAAUACCAAAUUUUAUUAACUGCCCCUGUGACAUUCGUUAAGACCGCACACAUGCAUUUCAUUAUGUAGUAGAUCAGCUGCUAUCAGGCAGCUGGCUUUCCAAGGGACUCGACUUGGUCCUGGUGGAUGCUGUCACGAACAAAUUUGGUCUUUGGGUUUGCUAAUGCUUACUUGGUUUUCCACUUGUAUUUUGUGUAAGUGGGAUGAGUGUGGGUGGGUGUGCAUGAGUAAAUCCCUGGGCUUGGAGUCCAGGCCAGUCCUGACAUCUGUGGGACCUAAGACAACGAGGCCAUGAAUAAAGGCCCUUGGGGCAGAGCACAGACAGAAGCCCACACUCUCUGUGCCUAGGCAUCCAAAAGGUGCGAACCAAACUGCUGAACCACUAAACAACAUAUUUUAUCUUGCCUUCUCAAAUAUACUCAUCCAAUGACCAAAAAAAAAAAAAAAAGGAUAA